GCGCCCGUAGCUCAAUGGAUAGAGUACUGCCCUCCGAAGGCAGGGGUUGCUGGUUCGAUCCCAGCCGGGCGCG
rfam:Burkholderia sp. TJI49 contig965, whole genome shotgun sequence.